rnacentral:lncRNA from 1 species
GUUUAAUUAUAAAUAAUGAAAGCUGCUCUGCUUGGAAGCCAAUGUUCAUUGUCAAUCAUGAAGUCAGUGAUGAAGAUGUGAGGCCAAACUCCAUGGAGAAAUUAAGCCGGAGCUCCUGCUCAUCACCAGAUGAAGGACACCAAAGCUCUAAGGCAUCAAUUACACCCUUCUCCAGCUUCUCCAGCUUCUCCUUAAGCUCCAAUUAAGCAGGAUGCGGUGACAUCACAGAUGCUUUGAUCCGCUGGAGCAGAAACACUGCUGCAGAACACAUCAGAUGAGCGAUGGAGGGCUCUUCCGUGGAUCUUCUGGCUCUGAGGCUCGUCAUCUCCGUCCUCGGUGUUUUAGGAAACACAGUCCUGAUUAUCUCCAUCCUUCAAACGCCUCACCUGAAGUCCUUCGAGAUCUUUCUGCUCGGACUGGCCUCAGCGAAUCUGGAGGAGAUGGUGAUCGUGGACGUUUACGACAUCUUGCUCUUGCGUUCCUCUCGCAGUAUAAGUGUGUGGAGCUGCAGAGGCCUGAAGUUCCUCUCCAUCUUCGGGGAGAUCUCCAGCAUCCUCUUCACGGUUCUCAUCAGCAUCUAUCGCUAUCAGAAGCUGCGGGACGUCCACACGCGGGUCAACCUGCCCGUGCUCAUGGACCGUCUGCGCUCGGCCGUGUUUCUGUCUGUGUUCUGCGGCGCAGUGGCUCUUGUCUUCAGUUUGCCCACGCUUCUCAUUAACCUGGACUGGAGUCACCUGAACUCCUCGUCUCCGGGCUGUCCGGUCGAUUUCUUCCAGUGCUCGUUAACCAGGUGCCCGACUCGCAACCGUCUUUACAAGUACUCCUUCCUUCUGGUGUGUAACCUGCUCCCGCUGCUGAUCGUCACGCUCACGAGCACCAUGAUCGUCAGGAGUCUAAUAGUCCAGCAGAAGACGGUGAGGGCCCGGCAGGAUCCGAGCGCAGCGACUGUGACGUCCCAUCAGCGGUCCAGGACAUCCUCGUUCCACCGCAGCACGCUGGCCAUCCUGGCGGCCAUGACCCUGUUCCAGCUCAACUGGACGGUCUAUCUGCUGCUGCACCUGGCCUUUGACCCUCACACCGUCCCUCUGUGGUCAGAGCUGGAGCUCUUCAUCACCACCUUUUACACCGCAGUCAGCCCGUAUGUCUAUGGAAUAGGCAACAACCUGUUCAACAUAAAGCGCUUCAUGAGCUGAAAGCUUCUGAUUAGAUGACAAUAACAAAUGAAGCCGAAACACAAUGUGCUGUUCU